GACGAACGCUGGCGGCGUGCUUAACACAUGCAAGUCGAACGGAAAGGCCCCUUUGGGGGUACUCGAGUGGCGAACGGGUGAGUAACACGUGAGUAACCUGCCCUUGACUUCGGGAUAACUUCAGGAAACUGGGGCUAAUACCGGAUAGGAAUCCUUGCUGCAUGGUGGGGGUUGGAAAGCUUCGGCGGUUUUGGAUGGACUCACGGCUUAUCAGCUUGUUGGUGGGGUAGUGGCUUACCAAGGCUUUGACGGGUAGCCGGCCUGAGAGGGCGACCGGCCACAUUGGGACUGAGAUACGGCCCAGACUCCUACGGGAGGCAGCAGUGGGGAAUAUUGCACAAUGGGCGGAAGCCUGAUGCAGCAACGCCGCGUGCGGGAUGACGGCCUUCGGGUUGUAAACCGCUUUCAGCAGGGGCGAAGCUUGUGGUGACGGUACCUGCAGAAGAAGCACCGGCUAACUACGU
rnacentral:rRNA from 1 species